GCAAAGAGCCUCAACUUCAAGGGCAGCAUUGGAAGAUGUUUAGACUAAUUUAGAUGAUGGUUUUGAUGGAAAUGGAUCUUAUUUAGAGAUGAGGAUGAAAGUGUUGAGGAUUUUGAUAGGAACAUCAAGCAAAGAUCUCUUGGUUAUGACUGAAUUUAAAUGCUAAAAACUUUUGGAUGUUUCAUAAUUUUUUAAGGGUUUAAAUUUUAUAUAAAGGAUUGUAUUUUCUUUGCAUAUUUUAUUAUUAGCUAAUUUUUUGAUAAUUUUAUGCUUCCUCAAUGAAGCGAGUGCUGUUUUUGCACUUUAAGUGAUGGGGUGA
rnacentral:misc_RNA from 1 species